rnacentral:misc_RNA from 1 species
GAUGAAGAACGUAGCGAAAUGCGAUAAGUAAUGUGAAUUGCAGAAUUCAGUGAAUCAUCGAAUCUUUGAACGCACAUUGCGCCCGCCAGUAUUCUGGCGGGCAUGCCUGUUCGAGCGUCAUUUCAACCAUCAAGCCCCCGGCUUGUGUUGGGGACCUGCGGCUGCCGCAGGCCCUGAAAAGCAGUGGCGGGCUCGCUGUCACACCGAGCGUAGUAGCAUACAUCUCGCUCUGGGCGUGCUGCGGGUUCCGGCCGUUAAACCACCUUCAUAACCCAAGGUUGACCUCGGAUCAGGUAGGAAGAACCGCUGAACUUAAGCAUAUCAAUAAGCGGAGGA